UAGGGAAUCUUCGGCAAUGGACGAAAGUCUGACCGAGCAACGCCGCGUGAGUGAAGAAGGUUUUCGGAUCGUAAAACUCUGUUGUUAGAGAAGAACAAGGACGUUAGUAACUGAACGUCCCCUGACGGUAUCUAACCAGAAAGCCACGGCUAACUACGUGCCAGCAGCCGCGGUAAUACGUAGGUGGCAAGCGUUGUCCGGAUUUAUUGGGCGUAAAGCGAGCGCAGGCGGUUUCUUAAGUCUGAUGUGAAAGCCCCCGGCUCAACCGGGGAGGGUCAUUGGAAACUGGGAGACUUGAGUGCAGAAGAGGGGAGUGGAAUUCCAUGUGUAGCGGUGAAAUGCGUAGAUAUAUGGCGGAAAACCAGUGGCGAAGGCGGCUCUCUGGUCUGUAACUGACGCUGAGGCUCGAAAGCGUGGGGAGCAAACAGG
rnacentral:rRNA from 1 species